GAUGAACGCUGGCGGCGUGCCUAAUACAUGCAAGUCGAGCGAACAGACGAGGAGCUUGCUCCUCUGACGUUAGCGGCGGACGGGUGAGUAACACGUGGAUAACCUACCUAUAAGACUGGGAUAACUUCGGGAAACCGGAGCUGAUACCGGAUAAUAUAUUGAACCGCAUGGUUCAAUAGUGAAAGACGGUUUUGCUGUCACUUAUAGAUGGAUCCGCGCCGCAUUAGCUAGUUGGUAAGGUAACGGCUUACCAAGGCAACGAUGCGUAGCCGACCUGAGAGGGUGAACGGCCACACUGGAACUGAGACACGGUCCAGACUCCUACGGGAGGCAGCAGUAGGGAAUCUUCCGCAAUGGGCGAAAGCCUGACGGAGCAACGCCGCGUGAGUGAUGAAGGUCUUCGGAUCGUAAAACUCUGUUAUUAGGGAAGAACAAAUGUGUAAGUAACUAUGCACGUCUUGACGGUACCUAAUCAGAAAGCCACGGCUAACUACGUG
rnacentral:rRNA from 1 species